CCUACGGGAGGCAGCAGUGAGGAAUCUUGGUCAAUGGACGAGCGUCUGAACCAGCCAAGUAGCGUGAAGGAUGACUGCCCUCUGGGUUGUACACUUCUUUUAUAUGGGAAUCAAACAGGGUAUGCAUCCCCUCUUGUCUUUACCAUAUGAAUAAGGAUCGGCUCACUCCGUGCCAGCAGACGCGGUAAUACGGAGGAUCCGAGCGUUAUCCGGAUUUAUUGGGUUUAAAGGGAGCGUAGGUGGAUUGUUAAGUCAGUUGUGAAAGUUUGCGGCUCAACCGUAAAAUUGCAGUUGAAACUGGCAGUCUUGAGUACAGUAGAGGUGGGCGGAAUUCGUGGUGUAGCGGUGAAAUGCUUAGAUAUCACGAAGAACUCCGAUUGCGAAGGCAGCUCACUGGACUGCAACUGACACUGAUGCUCGAAAGUGUGGGUAUCAAACAGGAUUAGAUACCCCGGUAGUC
rnacentral:rRNA from 1 species